AGCAGUGUGGUAUAAUGGUUUGAGUGUUGGACUACAACUCAGGAAACCAGGGAUUGAUUCCCUGCUCAGCCA